GCUGGGUGGAUUUUUUACCUGGGGUCCAGUGGGGCUGCUGGCCGGGCUGUUUGGUCUCCAGGCCUGUUGGUCUCCAGGCAGGCGGCAAGGGAUUUGUGAGCUCUCACAAAUCAGCGCUCCCUCGCCGCCCACCUGGAGAUUAACUAGCCGCCUGCCCAGGGGGCCCAAUGGUGGCCAGCCGGCCAGUUUUUGGGCCCUCUUAGUGAGGGCUAACAAGGCAUUAGCCAGGCAUUUGGGGGGCGGCGUUUUUUGAGUACCUAAUCACCUCUAU